ensembl:snoRNA small nucleolar RNA, C/D box 57
CGGAUGUGAUGUGAAGUCCCGCCUGACUUGCUGUGGAGGCCAAAAACUGAUUUAAUGAGGCUGAUCC